GUAUUGGAAUAUUAUCUUUUUUGUAUGGUCUGGAAAUUGUGUGGUUGAUGAUGUGUGAAUGUUCCUUUCUCAUACUAGGCACAAGGCAGAGAGGUAUUUUUUUAGAGACAGUAAGACUAACACCAGCUUGCUCUUCCAUAUUCAUAUCAUCCGUCUGCAUUCCAUCACCUAAUUUCCAAUCAAAACAGUAAACCAAAUUCGCCAGCACAAGCUCAACCGUUAUCGUCCCCAAGUUCAUUCCGACGCACAUUCUUCUGCCAGCUCCAAACGGCAGAAACUCGAAAUCUUUUCCUUUGAAAUCAACGGAGUUCUCCGAAAACCUCUCGGGAAAAAACUCUUCAGGAUCCUUCCAGUACUUGGGAUCGCGUCCAAUUGCCCAGGCGUUCACUUGGAUCAUCGUUUUCGGGUUGAUAUCGAAGCCGUUGACUUUAAUAUGAGAAAGGGUUUCUCUUGGAAGAAGUAAAGGGGCUGCAGGAUGUAAUCUAAAAGUUUCUUUGACUACCAUUUUUAGGUAUACAAGCUGAUCAAUGUCAACUUCUGAGACUCUUCCUUUGUUUCCAAUGCAGUUUCUAACUUCGUCUUGUAAUUUCUUCAUCACUCUUGGAUUCUUAAUAAGCUCUGCCAUUGCCCAAUUUAUAGUAAUUGCAGAAGUGUCUAUGCCACCCAGAAAUAAGUUCUGACAAAAACAAAAUUACCAAAAUUGAGUACCUUAAUUCCUGAGUAACAUAUAUAGCAUGCUAGGCCUGAUUAUUUGGUCAGGUAUCAGACAGAUUUGGCACGCUUGAACUGAUCUCAUACAUUAAUUUUUGAGGAAAUUGGGGGUUAACUAUUUUUACGAAUACCCAAUUAUAAUAUGUUUAUAAAACGGUUACCGAAUUUUAAAAAAUAACAAUAGGCACAUCAAAUAAUUUAGUCUGAAAA